UGGGCUGUUGCUUCCUGUUGUCCUUUGUUACAGCACUCGUUUUCUUGGUGUUCAUUUACGGAGUCUUCUUUCGAGGAUCGAAAAAGAUGGAGGAAUAUUUCCAGGAUUUUUCUCACGGUAAACGGCCUUUCUUGUUGGCUCCUUCUCCGACAUUUCUCGAUUUUUAAAAAACUGCAGCUUCAGCUUCUCCUCCAUUCCUCUCUCGAUUGCAGUUAGUUAAUACAGUUUGUUUAUGG
rnacentral:lncRNA from 1 species